GUCCAGACUCCUACGGGAGGCAGCAGUGGGGAAUAUUGCACAAUGGGGGAAACCCUGAUGCAGCGACGCCGCGUGAAGGAUGAAGUAUUUCGGUAUGUAAACUUCUAUCAGCAGGGAAGAAAAUGACGGUACCUGACUAAGAAGCCACGGCUAACUACGUGCCAGCAGCCGCGGUAAUACGUAGGUGGCAAGCGUUGUCCGGAUUUACUGGGUGUAAAGGGAGCGUAGGCGGCAGGGCAAGCCUGAUGUGAAAGCCCGGGGCUCAACCCCGGGACUGCAUUGGGAACUGCCCCGCUCGAGUGCCGGAGGGGCAGGCGGAAUUCCUAGUGUAGCGGUGAAAUGCGUAGAUAUUAGGAGGAACACCAGUGGCGAAGGCGGCCUGCUGGACGGUGUACUGACGCUGAGGCUCGAAAGCGUGGGGAGCAAACAGGAUUAGAUACCCGGGUAGC
rnacentral:rRNA from 1 species